GUCGGGUGGGGUGGCGCACGCCUGUGAUCCCAGCACCUCGGGAGGCUGAGGCAGGAGGAUCUCGAGUUCAAGGCCAGCCUCAGCAAUUUAGCGAGGCCCUCAGCAACUCAGUGAGACCCUGUCUCUA
rnacentral:sRNA from 1 species